rnacentral:misc_RNA from 1 species
GGGUGAGGCUGUGAAUAGUUUUAUAUGGUUUUGGUUUGCAGGAUGAGUGGUUUGGAGAGGGUUUCUUGUGGUCCUGCAGUGUAGAUCUAUGGUGGAGGGAGCCAUGAUUUUCAUGGUUCUGUCCCUUCUUGGUGUUGUUGGUCUUAGUGUUGAUUGAAAAGGGCAUGAAAUCAAUUUGGGAGGAGGUCCAAGGAAGGUGACAAGAGGGUUAGAGCCGGCGCUUGAAAUUGCUUUGCUGGUUUGCCAUAGUUAGAAUGGCGUGGCCUCCAUUAUCCUCUUCUCCUUGGUUGAUGGUCUAAUAGUGACGAGGUUUUCUUAAUCUUGAGUGUCGGAGGAAGCAGUUUGUCCAUGUUGCCUCUAUUUAUUUUUCCACGUGUUGUUGCACCAGCAUCCAGUGAUGCUUUGUGGUGGCUAUGGCAGUUUUUGUUCUUAUAGUUAGAGUGGUUUGAAUUGCAUUGUUGGGUUAUGGGUUUGAAUUGCUAUUUGUGGUUGGUUUUGAACUUUU